rnacentral:pre_miRNA from 1 species
GUGAGUUUCGUACACUUAAUUAAUACAAGAAGCGGGGAUUAAUAAAAGUAUGUCGAACUCGCAG